GUUUUAUUUUUAUAAUUUUUGUGUAUAUUUAGUUUUGUGGAUUUUAUAGUGAUUUUCAAUUUGAUUAUGUUAAAAUUUUAUUGUGUUUCUUUUGUUAUUUUGGUUUAUUUAAUUGUUUAUUGAAAUGUUUUCUUUAUUUUUUUAUUGGAUUGUAAUUAUUGUGGGAUUAGUAAAUUUGUUUGUUGUUUUGUUUGUAUUUGUGUUUAAUUUCUUUUGAGGAAUUAGGCAAAGAUUUGUGUCCGCCUGUUUAACAAAAACAUCUUUUCUUGUUAGUUUUUGAAGUAUGGCCUGCCCGCUGACAUUGAGUUGAAGGGCCGCGGUAUUUUGACCGUGCAAAGGUAGCAUAAUCAUUAGUUCUUUAAUUGUGAUCUGGAAUGAAUGGCUUGACGAGGCACGAGCUGUCUUAGUGUUGAAUGUUUUAUUGAAUUUGGUCUUUGAGUUAAAAUUCUUAAAUGUUUUUGUGGGACGAGAAGACCCUAUAGAGUUUGACAUUUGGUUUAUUUAUUUGUUGGUUGUUUGUUUGUUUUGUUGGUGAAUGGGCUUUUUGUUUUGUUGGGGUGAUGAGAGGAAUGUAUUUAACUCUUCUUUGUUUUGGUUAUAUUUAUUUAUAGUUGUUUGAUCCAUUUAUUUUGAUUAUAAGACUAAAUUAC
rnacentral:rRNA from 1 species